rnacentral:rRNA from 1 species
UACGUAGGGUGCAAGCGUUAAUCGGAAUUACUGGGCGUAAAGCGUGCGCAGGCGGUUAUAUAAGUCAGAUGUGAAAUCCCCGGGCUCAACCUGGGGAAGGCAUUUGAGACUGUAUGGCUAGAGUGUGUCAGAGGGGGGUAGAAUUCCACGUGUAGCAGUGAAAUGCGUAGAGAUGUGGAGGAAUACCGAUGGCGAAGGCAGCCCCCUGGGAUAACACUGACGCUCAUGCACGAAAGCGUGGGGAGCAAACAGG